GGGGACGUAGCUCAGCGGGAGAGCACUCGGUUCGCAUCCGAGCGGUCCCGGGUUCGAAUCCCGGCGGCUCCA
rnacentral:tRNA from 3 species